AAACACAAGUUCACCUCUUGUUUUCUCCUCCGCCGCUCUCUCCUUUCUUCUUCUGGCUCUCCAAUCUCCAAUCCCUCAUUGCAUCCUUCCUUUUUCUUUCUCAUUUAGAUUAUUCCAUAUUCUUCUCUUUCUUCUCGUUCUUUUCUUUUUUUUUAACCAGAAAGGAUAGCAAUCAAACCAGUCAUAUUAUACAUGAAUUACAUCUCAAAUCUCUUUAAAAUUUCACAUAAUUUCUGGAGCGAGAAGGCCCAUGGCAUGGCAUUUUUGGUCGUAUUUCUUCCAUCCAAAAGAGCAGCUAUGGACAAGUGCCCAACCCAAGGCUUUCUUGGUCAUCUCCCUCCUUUCGGCCUUCCUGGAUCUCAGAGAAGUCUGUAAUGGUGUAGAAGAAGGAACUUUAAAAAGACAUUUACUCCUGAACUAAAUCAAUCUUCGUAGAGUGACGUCAUCAGCUCAUGCGGCUUCGACGCCGAUAUCGGCAGCUCGGUGAAGGAUUUCGUAAAAUUCUCCUCUCUUGCGCUACACAAGGCUUCGGCCACAUCGCACAGCCUUGCUACAUCUCCAAUUAUAGAUUUUUGGGCUUCCACCUGCAAGAGAAGUUCAUCAACAAGAUGCCGGCAAGCGGAGUCCGACGAUUGUUCCGGAGGGACUGGGGAAGUCACUGUGGCUCGGUCAGACGAUGUAGCAGCGUCAUUGGGUUGUCGAUAUUUUUGCUGCUGACUAAUAACAAUUGGGGAUCUUUUCUGCAUGUCCUUCAAGGUGUUUGACAAAUGUACCCACUGUUCGAUCUCUUGUCGGUACUUGUGUUUGAGCUUGAGAAGAGCUCUUUUCUUCCUUUGCCGGCGGUUCUACUCUUCAACGGCCGGAUCCGGUAGUCCCGGUGCCGAAGUGGAGGAAGGAAGGUCGACACAGGGACGUUUCCUGCGUUUGGAGAUGAAACCGUCAUCGUUGAUGAGUUCCCACUCAUCGUCAGGUUCCCAGCUCACUGGGGUGGUGGCCAUUGGGCUUCUCCCCGUCGUUCUUUCCUUCAAUUGCCAAGAAUGGUACUAAAACAUGGUGGUGGAUAACUUUUGUGCCCCUUCUCAGAAAGUGCCAAUGACUAAUUUUAGCCCCUGUUGCUGUUAUUAGUGGCGGCAAAGUCUGUCCUCGUGGAAAAGAGGUUGAUAGCCCAAGGAAUCAAUGCAUGCUCCAUGUUCUGGAGAUCAUGAGUUCAAUUCUUGACUUUUCCUCGAAGAAAAACUACAAAAUAAUGGUAAAUCAUUUGAAGCUCAAGAACAAUACAAGGAAGCUCUUGUUGCAUUCUCAGUUUCACUCUCCAUAGAGCCAGAUUAUGUACCAAGCAUUGUCUCAACUGCUGGAGUGCUGAUAAAAUUGGGUAGACAGAAUCUUCCUAUUGCAAGAAGCUUGUUGAUGACUGCUCUCUGACUAGAGCCGACAAACCACCAUGCGUGGUUCCUUCUUGGAGUCUAUCCAAGUCUCAAGGCUUGAAACAAGUAGCCGCAGAUUACUUCCAAGCCGUACAUGAACUAAAACUUUCUGCUCCUGUUCAAGACUUUGCUUAACAACGCAUUGAGCACCAAGGUUCCAGAGAUAAAGGAACUUCUAUCUGGGACUUUAAAUGUUGGUUUUGGCUAUUAUAUACUGACAGUGUAGACAAUUAGUUAUAUUAGCUGGUGUUGGUUUUGGCUUUUGAUUAGCUAUGUUAGUACUUGUUGCUGAUUUUAGUUCAACAAAUGAUAUUUGAACAUUGAUUUUUGCUUUUAAAUUACUACAUGCAUUCUAUUUUUUGGGAUAA